UGAUGUCGGUUCCGCCCAUGCGCAGGCGU
rnacentral:sRNA from 1 species